rnacentral:lncRNA from 1 species
CCCUAAUCUAUGGAUUUCACAUGACUGGGAUUACAGAUAUGCAUCUGUUGGACACAGACGCCUUCUAAAAAAGGUAGGGGUGUGGAUCAGAAAACCAGUCCGUAUCUGGUGUGAGCACCAUUUGCCUCAUGCAGCCCGCCACAUCUUCACAGAGAGUUGAUCAGGCUGUUGAUCCACUCCUCUCCCAUAGGGCGGCCCACAAUUGGCCCAGUGUCGUCCGGGUUAUGGGUUGGCCGGCGUAGGCCGUCAUUGUAAAUAAGAAUUUGUUCUUAGCUGACUUGCCUAGAUAAAUAAACAAUUCAAUGGCUGUGUGAAUUUGCUGGAUAGCCCUGCUGGAAAAUCCAGCUUAGAACCGUAGCGGUGCGUGGUACAAUCACUGGCAUAACUCCCCCUCCCCUCAUGCCGUGCGACCGUGAGAUAUAGGCCUAAAGGCCAGGACAAUAAGAAGACACAGCGACAGAAUGAAUUCAACUAUACAUUUGUUUUAUUUUAUUUAAGUAGGCAAGUUAGUUCAGAACAAAAUCUUAUUUUACAAUGGCGGCUUACCCCCCCGGCCAAACCCUCCCGUAACCUAGAUGACGCUGGGCCAAUUGUGCGCCGCCGUAUGGGACUCCAGAUCACGGCCAGUUGUGAUACAGCCCGGGAUCGAACCAGGGUCUGUAGUGAUGCCUCUAGCACUGAGAUGCAGUGCCUUAGACUGCUGUGCCACUUGGAUAGCAACCUCUGUCCAGUGAAGUCCACAAAGCAUAUUGCAUGUACAGCAACAGAAAAUUACAUGACCUACAGCAUGGUCAAGCAAGUUAAUGUUUACGACAUUUUCGGACUACUAAACAACUAUUGAUUUAGAACCAUAGAGAGUUACCGCAAGUCACAAAGAAAACAGGAGCUUCCUCCACUAUUCCAGCACCAUUUCAACUUCAACAUUUCAUCCUCAUCAAAAUCACCUCGGCUUAGUCUAAUACAGUAACAACUAAAAUAUACCAAAAACAAUUUAGUCCAAUCAACAUCAGCUAAAUAUGAUGUGGGUGUCCAUGUUUCUGAUUUAUGUGUGUGUGUGUGUGCGUUCGCGCAAGUAGAAAAACAUGUUGACUCAUGAAACAGUCUAUCACUCUGUCAUACAGUACACACUUUUAUUAUUUGUUGUCCUAGGCUACCUGGUUAAAAUUAUUGCUGGCUAGCCUAACUUCCAAUCAUGGGCAAUGUUAGCUAGUUAACAUUAGCCUCCUACAUCUAAUUUCCAUCCUCUCGAGCCAGGGGCACAACAAUGUAUGAAUUAAUUGUUGGAUCAGAAUCGCCGUUAUAAUCAUUGGCCAGUAUGGAUCCCUAUCUCCAUCCAUCGUUCAUUUAGGAAAGGGCCAAUUUUAGUUAGCUGGCUAGCUAGCCAUCGGAGGACAACAACACAACAAGAUGCAACAAUUUAAGUUUUUCUGUCAAUGAUGUAUGCGCUCAAUGGGAUUUGAUCGGAACGACGCCAAAUCCAAGCUGGCUUCCCUUGACAAUUUUUUGGGGUGUGCCAGGACCAUUCACAUUUGAGCUUGCUUAGUUUAGCUCAACAAUGAUUGGCACAUUUUUUAUACUUUUUUUUAAUCAAGGGAGGCCAGAUGCUCGCUGGCUUCCCUUGCCUUCAACGCUACAGCCGGCAACAAUGUCAUACUGGUUUGGACCAGACAGCACCAGAUAGAUGGCCUACACGUAGAGACAGAGGGGCGCUGUUUCACUCGCUCAGAUCCUAUGAGAUACAUCAAAUCAAAUUGUAUUUGUCACAUGCGCCGAAUACAACAGGUGUAGGCCUUAAAGUGAAAUGCUUACUUACAAGCCCUUAACCAACAAUGCAGUUCAAGAAAGAGUUAAGAAAAUAUUUACUAAAUAAACUAAAGUAAAAAAUUAAAUCAAAAGUAACACAACAAAAUAUCAAUAACCAGGCUAUAUACAGGUUAAUGUAUACAUUAAGUCUCUUGCGAAUUAAAGGAAAAGUAUCUAUUCUAGGUAUUCUAUUGUUUACAAAAAUUAUUACAACGUCUGAUUGUUGUGGCUACUAAUCUUAGAUGUCAAAUUAGCCACUUGAUGCUUGAAUGAAUGUUGACUGCAUUGUACACACUUGGCAAACAGUCUUGGAGAGGAGGGCAGGGUUACCUGGUGUAUACUACAGGUGAGUCUUGGAGAGGAGGGCAGGGUUACCUGGUGUAUACUACAGGUGAGUCUUGGAGAGGUGGGGUAGGAUUACCUGGUAUAUACUACAGGUGAGUCUUGGAGAGGAGGGUAGGAUUACCUGGAAUAUACUACAAGUGAGUCUUGGAGAGGAGGGCAGGGUUACUUGGUAUAUACUACAAGUGAGUCUUGGAGAGGAGGGCAGGGUUACUUGGUAUAUACUACAAGUGAGUCUUGGAGAGGAGGGGUAGGAUUACCUGGUAUAUACUACAGGUGAGUCUUGGAGAGGAGGGUAGGAUUACCUGGUAUAUACUACAGGUGAGUCUUGGAGAGGAGGGUAGGAUUACCUGGUAUAUACUACAGGUGAGUCUUGGAGAGGACGGGUAGGAGUACCUGGUAUAUAUAGUACAGGUUAGUCUUGGAGAGGAGGGUAGGAUUACUUGGUAUAGUGCAGGAGACAAUGUCAUAAUUAUCCAAAUCUAGGGACAGGCCCGCUGGCCAAAAAACGGUUGAAUCAACGUUGUUUCCACAUCAUUGCAACCCCAAAAAUGUAUGUGAUGACAUUGAAUCAAUGUGGAAAACUAGUUGGAUUUGCAAAAAGUCAUCAAUGUAAGGGCAUUUAAUAUUUUUUUCACCCAACUUUUAACCUAAUUCCAAUGGCGGUAAAUAUUUUUUGUUGAUUUCACGCUAGUUGACAACUCAAUCAAAUGUAAAUCAAAACUACAUGUAAAAAUACUUACCUGGUGCACAAGUGUUCAGUUAAUGUUGGUUUGCCUGUAGAAUAAUAGGGGAGACAGUCCUUUCUUCUUGGUCCAAAAAUACUCCUGAUGAAGUCCCUGAUGAAAUGAUGUUCACUGAAGUAGUUUAAACCUAUACGGUUAUGUUUUCCAGAUCCAUAUUGCUUCUACAUCUGCAUUGCUUGAUGUUUGGGGGUUUAGGCUGGGUUUCUGUAUAGCACUUUGUGACAUAUGCUGAUGUAAAAAGGGCUUUAUAAAUACAUUUGAUUGAUUGGUUCAUAUUGGAGAGGGGGUUUUCAUCCAAAUGGUUGAAAAUAAAUUAUGCAAAUCAGAGAUUCCAAGUUUGUGAAACAAUUAUCAACUUCCAUCUGGGGUUCAGCAACCCUCAGCACCAGGACCCUGGAGGGAAAAGCCUUCCCCACAUUAAAAGCAGCUCCAAAACCUCCCCUGACUCCGAAGAAGUAUAAGGCCUUGAAAGAUAAUUAUAGCUAAUUACAACAUAUGUCUAUACUCUUUUUUUGUAUUGCAAGCUAGGCUUUAUUUAACUAGGCAAGUCAGUUAAGAACACAUUAUCAUUUACAAUGACGGCCUACCAAAAGGCAAAAGGCCUCCUGUGGGGACGGUCGCUGGCAUAAAGAAAAAUUAUAAUACAAAAACUAAAAUAUAUGUAGGUGUGGGAAAUGUGAUGACCUUGUGUCCAAGCAGGCUACACGUAGUUACUGUGUGUGUGUGGAAAACAUUUAACUUGUUUAUCUAGUGUAGUCGGUUUGUAACUUCACUCUCUACUUGUAGCUGUACAGUCGUGGCCAAAAGUUUUGAGAAUGAUUUCACAAAGUCUGCUGCCUCAGUUUGUAUGAUGGCAAUUUGCAUAUACUCCAGAAUGUUAUGAAGAGUGAUCAGAUGAAUUGCAAUUAAUUGCAAAGUCCCUCUUUGCCAUCAUGCAAAUGAACUGAAUCCCCCAAAAACAUUUCCACUGCACUUCAGCCCUGCCACAAAAGGACCAGCUGACAUCAUGUCAGUGAUUCUCUCGUUAACACAGGUGUGAGUGUUGACGAGGACAAGGCUGGAGAUCACUCUGUUAUGCUGAUUGAGUUUGAAUAACAAACUGGAAGCUUCAAAAGGAGGGUGGUGCUUGGAAUCAUUGUUCUUCCUCUGUCAACCAUGGUUACCUGCAAGGAAAGACGUGCCGUCAUCAUUGCUUUGCACAAAAAGGCCUUCACAGGCAAGGAUAUUGCUGCCAGUAAGAUUGCACUUAAAUCAACUAUUUAUCGGAUCAUCAAGAACUUCAAGGAGAGCGGUUCAAUUGUUGUGAAGACGGCUUCAGGGAGCCCAAGAAAGUCCAGCAAGCGCCAGGACCAUCUCCUAAAGUUGAUUCAGCUGCGGGAUCGGGGCACCACCAGUACAGAGCUUGCUCAGUAAUGGCAGCAGGCAGGUGUGAGUGCAUCUGCACGCACAGUGAGGCGAAGACUUUUGGAGGAUGGCCUGGUGUCAAGAAGGACAGCAAAGAAGCCACUUCUUUCCAGGAAAAACAUUCUUUACUCUCUUUUUUUCAAACUGAGUUUUUGUCCGCAUCUUGCAUGCCGCAGCUCUCACGACUUUUGCUCGAGCAUAGAAUGCACAGCCGUGAGAUUGGUUAUUAUGCCCGCGCUCAGAGGCUCCCUGUUCCGGACCAGCUCAGCCGAAUGCCCGGUCUCCAACUGAUGCCAGCCUCGAUGAUCAUGCUGAUAACUCCAUUACACUGGUAUGCCAUGAAGGUAAUUCCUUGGUUCAGGAAUGGAUAUACAGUACCAGUCAAAAGUUUGGACACACCUACUCAUUCCAGGGUUUUUCUUUAUUUUUUACUAUUUUCUACAUUGUAGAAUAGUAGUGAAGACAUCAUCACUAUGACAUAACACAUAUGGAAUCAUGUU